GCUGAGCUGUGAUGGGGAAGCUCCUUAUGGAGCGAAGUCUUUGAUUCCCCGCUGCCAAGAAAAGCUUCUAGCGAGAUAAAAGGUGCCUGUACCGCAAACCGACACAGGUAGGCGAGGAGAGAAUCCUAAGGUGUGCGAGAGAACUCUGGUUAAGGAACUCGGCAAAAUGACCCCGUAACUUCGGGAGAAGGGGUGCUUUCUUAACGGAAAGCCGCAGUGAAUAGGCCCAAGCGACUGUUUAGCAAAAACACAGCUCUCUGCGAAGCCGUAAGGCGAAGUAUAGGGGGUGACACCUGCCCGGUGCUGGAAGGUUAAGGAGAGGGGUUAGCGUAAGCGAAGCUCUGAACUGAAGCCCCAGUAAACGGCGGCCGUAACUAUAACGGUCCUAAGGUAGCGAAAUUCCUUGUCGGGUAAGUUCCGACCCGCACGAAAGGUGUAACGAUUUGGGCACUGUCUCAACCAGAGACUCGGUGAAAUUAUAGUACCUGUGAAGAUGCAGGUUACCCGCGACAGGACGGAAAGACCCCGUGGAGCUUUACUGUAGCCUGAUAUUGAAUUUUGGUACAGUUUGUACAGGAUAGGCGGGAGCCAUUGAAACCGGAGCGCUAGCUUCGGUGGAGGCGCUGGUGGGAUACCGCCCUGACUGUAUUGAAAUUCUAACCUACGGGUCUUAUCGACCCGGGAGACAGUGUCAGGUGGGCAGUUUGACUGGGGCGGUCGCCUCCUAAAGUGUAACGGAGGCGCCCAAAGGUUCCCUCAGAAUGGUUGGAAAUCAUUCGUAGAGUGCAAAGGCAUAAGGGAGCUUGACUGCGAGACCUACAAGUCGAGCAGGGACGAAAGUCGGGCUUAGUGAUCCGGUGGUUCCGCAUGGAAGGGCCAUCGCUCAACGGAUAAAAGCUACCCCGGGGAUAACAGGCUUAUCUCCCCCAAGAGUCCACAUCGACGGGGAGGUUUGGCACCUCGAUGUCGGCUCAUCGCAUCCUGGGGCUGUAGUCGGUCCCAAGGGUUGGGCUGUUCGCCCAUUAAAGCGGUACGCGAGCUGGGUUCAGAACGUCGUGAGACAGUUCGGUCCCUAUCCGUCGUGGGCGUAGGAAAUUUGAGAGGAGCUGUCCUUAGUACGAGAGGACCGGGAUGGACGCACCGCUGGUGUACCAGUUGUUCUGCCAAGGGCAUAGCUGGGUAGCUAUGUGCGGAAGGGAUAAGUGCUGAAAGCAUCUAAGCAUGAAGCCCCCCUCAAGAUGAGAUUUCCCAUAGCGUAAGCUAGUAAGAUCCCUGAAAGAUGAUCAGGUUGAUAGGUUCGAGG
rnacentral:rRNA from 1 species